GCGGUCACGUGCUUUGAGACCCCGCCUCACAGACGCUGCUUUCCCCCAACCUAUCUCUCUCUCUCUCUCUCUCUCUCUCUCUGUCUCCCUCUGAGCUAGCAGUGCCUUCCCUUCGCUUCCCUUCCGCCGGAAGUGGGGCGACUUUCCCUUUCCGGCUACGGGUCCCGGAGCGGAGUGGGAGGCCGGACCGGGGGAGCCGAGCGACGGCGGUGGCGGUGGGCUUGGCUAUGGCGGAGCUGGUGCAGGGGCAGAGCGCUCCGGUGGGCAUGAAGGCUGAGGGCUUUGUGGAUGCCCUGCACCGGGUCCGGCAGAUUGCUGCUAAAAUCGAUUCAAUUCCUCACUUGAAUAAUUCCACACCUCUGGUGGACCCCUCAGUGUACGGAUACGGAGUACAGAAGCGGGCCCUGGAUGAUGGAGUAGGUAACCAGUUAGGGGCCUUGGUACAUCAAAGGGCAGUAAUAACAGAAGAAUUCAAAGUGCCUGAUAAAAUGGUUGGAUUUAUUAUUGGCAGGGGAGGUGAGCAGAUUUCACGAAUUCAAGCAGAAUCUGGGUGCAAAAUUCAGAUUGCCUCAGAGAGUUCUGGGAUUCCAGAGAGGCCCUGUGUACUUACCGGAACCCCAGAAAGUAUUGAACAAGCCAAACGGCUCCUGGGGCAGAUCGUGGAUCGAUGUCGGAAUGGGCCUGGCUUUCACAACGAUAUGGAUGGCAACAGCACAAUCCAGGAACUUCUUAUCCCUGCAUCUAAAGUGGGGCUGGUCAUCGGCAAAGGAGGGGAAACGAUCAAGCAGUUGCAGGAGCGAACGGGUGUGAAAAUGGUCAUGAUCCAGGAUGGCCCGCUGCCUACAGGAGCAGACAAGCCUCUCCGCAUCACUGGAGACCCAUUUAAAGUACAGCAAGCAAGAGAAAUGGUUCUAGAGAUUAUCCGAGAGAAAGAUCAGGCUGACUUCCGGGGUGUGCGCAGCGAUUUCACCUCCCGAGCAGGCGGAGGUAGUAUAGAGGUGUCUGUGCCUAGGUUUGUUGUUGGGAUUGUCAUAGGAAGGAACGGAGAAAUGAUUAAGAAGAUCCAGAACGACGCUGGUGUGAGGAUCCAAUUCAAACCAGAUGACGGGAUUAGUCCAGAAAGAGCAGCGCAGGUCAUGGGCCCUCCAGAUCGGUGUCAGCAUGCAGCUCGCAUCAUCAAUGAGCUCAUUCUCACGGCACAGGAAAGAGAGAUCCUUGGUGGCCUCACAGUAACAAGAGGAAGAGGCCGAGGCCGUAGUGACUGGAGUGUGGGCACUCCUGGGGGCGUCCAGGAAAUUACGUACACAGUGCCAGCUGAUAAGUGCGGCCUUGUGAUAGGCAAAGGGGGCGAGAACAUCAAAAGCAUCAACCAGCAAUCAGGUGCCCAUGUGGAGCUUCAGCGGAACCCCCCUCCUAACACCGACCCUAACCUGCGGAUAUUUACCAUCAGGGGUGCUCCUCAGCAGAUGGAGGUGGCCAGGCAUCUCAUAGAUGAGAAAGUUGGCUUUCAGGCACCUCAAAGCAGAUAAAGAAAGGGAAUGUUGAUGGAGGACAGAUGGGCCACUGCUCACCUCAAUGGGGACGUAGAAUGGCAGAAAGAGCCCUGGGCCAGCCUAAAUUGACGGGAGAGUCAAGCAGGGUGCCAGCCUCGGAGCCCCUGCAGCCUUCGGACAGAGCCCCUUCAGCCAGCCACCAGCCGCACCACAUCAAAACACCUUUCCUCCCAGGGGCUUCCCCAACAUCGCAGCUAAAGUUAAUGGGAAUCCCCACAGCACCCCUGUGAGUGGCCCUCCAGCUUUUCUGACCCAAGGCUGGGGCAGCACUUACCAGGCUUGGCAGCAGCCUACACAACAAGUCCCAAGCCAGCAGAGUCAGCCACAGAACAGCCAGCCCGACUACAGCAAGGCCUGGGAGGACUAUUACAAAAAGCAGAGUCAUCCCACCAGUGCUGCCCCACAGGCCAGCUCCCCCCCAGACUACACGAUGGCCUGGGCUGAGUACUACAGGCAGCAGGCCGCCUUCUAUGGGCAGACUUUAGGGCAGGCUCAGGCCCACAGCCAGGUCUGUAGCCAGUCCCCAGCGCCAUGAUGCCACGCAGCCUUUGUGCUUGCCUAGCCCCAGGGUGAGCACAGUGGCCUGUGGGGGUCUCCUCUGUCCCUCCACUCCAUAACUGAGCUUGAGCAGAGGCUGCUUCUAGCUCUGGGCCUAGAAACCCUGACUAUACCUAAGUGCCCUGGGUCUGCAGUGAGCCAGGACCACUCCAGCAGUAGUUCUUGCAGAGAGUGGCCAGGUUGGGCCUUUACCUGCACAGCACCUUUGGGGCCAAGCAAGUGGAGGGCCAGCUUGGCCUCUUUCUGUGUAGAAAUGAGGAGGGCUCUCUCCCGUUCUCAGCCAAGAAGGAGCUCUCUUUCCUUGGACCUUGGGGGCAAGGCUCCCUCCCAGGGGGUACCUUUUGCCUUGUAGGAAGCUGGGGUUAGACCUGGUGACCCAGGAGAAGCCUUCCCCUUUCACCCCAUACCCCCACAUUCUGACCCUAGAACCUGAGGUGCUUAGCAUUCAGUACCUGGUGGUAUGAGACUCUGGUCUUGGGCUGACCCUCUCCCUCCCCCCACAGGAGCAGUAGAUGGGCAUCUGCCGCGGCUCUUCCCCGAAAUCAGUGUGAGAGAAACCUGUUUGUUACAGAGAUUUUUAGAUUUGCAAACCUUUUGAUGAAGACCUUUGUUUUGUUCUGUGAAACACUAUAUUUAGAUUAACAGAAAUUUUCUAAAAAUUGGGAAAAUUAGUUACUAAACAUUGCUGGUAAUUUUUACGUCAUGAUUUCUUUGUAAAUGUGUGAGCUCCGGGGCUCUUGGAGCGAAACCUGCAAGCUCGGGUGCCCAAGCUCUCCUCGGAGCCUGGCAUUUCAUCACACGAUGGCUUUGUCUUGUGUCUUUUUAGUUACAGUUUGGGGUGGGUUUGUUGUUGUUGUUGUUGUUGUUGUUGUUGGGUUUUUGGUUUUGGUUUUUGUUUUCCCUUUUUUUUUUUUUUUUUUCUGUUACAACAGAAAAAAUGGCUUGGAAGUCUUAGGUGGUAAUGUAACAAAUUCUUUAAAAAUUUUUGAAGCAGUAUUUAAAUAUUCGUAAAUGUAAAUUCAUUGUGUUUCACCUCUAAUUUCUUGUAUCUUGGCUGUCUGGUUUUAUUGCAUUUUUUAAAAAAAACUGAACUAUUAUGUAUUGUAAUUAAUGAUGUGAAUUUUGAACUGAGACGGGUCCUUGUGUUGCGGGAGGGUCAUUUGUGGGUUAUGUCAUUUCUAGCGUUUUGAUGGUGAUGCAGAGACGCGGUCUGCCUUCGUGUAAGCUGCUCGUCUCCAUUAUCCAGGGCAGUUGUGUGUCUAAGACCUCCAAGCUGGUUUUAAAAACAAAAAGCCUUUCUCUAUUCUCAGAAAUAUAAAUACUGUUAUUUUUAAUAUUAAAAAGAAAUUCAAUAUAACUUUUAACAAACACUGUGGACAUUAAACCAUAUAAAAAAAUGUAGUAACUAUUUUUUAAUUCCAGGGUGUUUUUGCUUUUUUUCCUUAAAUAUUUUCUUAAUAUUUGUCAAAUUAACUAGAUAAAUAAAUAAAUCUAGUAUUAACAACAGUAUGAGUUAAAUAAUUUUGAUUUAAUAAAAGGGAUACUAUGAUUUCCAAUGUUUACUGUAGUGUAUCUGUACAGAUAACAUGUAUUUUUAAAGGAAACACGGAGUUGAAGCUAUUUUUUCCUGCAUUUUGGAUUGACCUGAGGAACAUUCCGUUUGAAACGUGCUCGUUACGGUUUGCCGUUCUUGUUUUCCUUAUGAUGCUUGAAAUGUCUAACUAUUAAAAAGGCAUUGGAAAUGUUAUGCAUGUUGUUUUUUAAAGAUGUUCUUUUUAUUUGACUGACAAUUCAUUUUACACUCUAUAUAAUAAAAUUUCCACAAGAUGUCUUGUGGGCAAAGUGU